AAUGAACGUUGGCGGCGUGGAUUAGGCAUGCAAGUCGAGCGAGAAUCGUAGCAAUACGAGGACAGCGGCGAAAGGGAGAGGAAUACGUAGAAAUCUACCCCUGAGACCGGGAUAGCGUCGGGAAACUGGCAGUAAUACCGGAUAAUGUCUUAGGACCAAAGGUGUGAUUCCACUUGGGGCUGAGUCUACGCCCUAUUAGCUAGUUGGUGGGGUAAUGGCCUACCAAGGCGAUGAUGGGUAGCGGGUGUGAGAGCAUGACCCGCCUCACUGGGACUGAGAACUGCCCAGACACCUACGGGUGGCUGCAGUCGAGAAUCUUUGUCAAUGGACGAAAGUCUGAACAAGCGACGCCGCGUGCGGGAUGAAGGCCUUCGGGUUGUAAACCGCUGUCGUAGGGGAACAAAUGUACGGGGGUACUCCCCUGUAUUUGAGUGAUCCUAGGAGGAAGGAGAGGCUAAGCUCGUGCCAGCAGCCGCAGUAA
rnacentral:rRNA from 1 species